GUUGUAUGGUUAAGUGACUAAGCGUACACGGUGGAUGCCUUGGCAGUCAGAGGCGAUGAAAGACGUAAUAACUUGCGAUAAGCCCAGAUUAGGUAGUAAUAACCUUUUGAGUCUGGGAUUUCUGAAUGGGGAAACCCACGUGCAUAAGCACGUAUCCUGUUGUGAAUACAUAGCAACAGGAGGCAAACCGGGGGAACUGAAACAUCUAAGUACCCCGAGGAAGAGAAAUCAACCGAGAUUCCG
rnacentral:rRNA from 1 species